AACUUAAAUGCAACAUUAAAUGUUUAAUCUUUUGAUCUUACCACUCAUAAAUAAAUAAAUCAUGUAACACAACUUUAUCUUGUUUAAUGUGCCUAAGCAUGGAGAAAAAUAAAUAAAGAAAUAGAUUUGGUUCUGUUGGUGUUUUUCCACUAGCAGAGCCCAUGCACUUGAUCUCUACCUUAGUUUUGCAAACAGGACAACACAUCAUGCAAAGUUUAUUAAUUCUAUAAGUGAAAGUUUUGUGAGCAUGCACAUUAAGCAAGAUGCUGCCAGCUACUAUUAAAACUCUCCUUCAACCUGCUGGCCCAAUCAAAAAACAAAGGUGACAUCAUCAUCACUAGAGGUAUGCAACCAUCAAGACCUCCAUCUCUCAAUAGAUGGAGAGAUACACAAGAGUGGAAGAAGAAGACCUGUCGGUAAAACUCUAAAUUUUAUAUUUUAGCCAUAAGGUUAGAAUGGUAGUUAUCUCUUUCAAUGAAUUUGUAAUUUAGUAGCAUAAUUUUGGUUACACAGUAAAAGAUAUAAAAACAAAAAAAAUAUUUACUGCAUUACUCAUGGCAUCUCAAGCCCCAUGUGGAUACCCUAUGGUAUUCUCCAAAGGAACAUCCACUGUGGUGGCAUAAAAUAAAAAUGACAAAAAUAUAGUAUUUAAAUUCCUGCUUGGACUCUGUAGCUGGGCGGGCGCCCUGCCCCUGGGCCCGAUCGCCUUCCCGUUCGUUCCCGUGGCUUCUGGAGUCUUCUAGAUGAUAGAAAAUUGCGCGGCACGUUAAUAUCUCUAUGUAAACCCGACAUGUGGGCCUUUCCUCCAUAUUUCCUGAUAACCCCCUGCAGAAAUAGACAAACACCAAAACUCGUGGAAUUCUGUCAGAUAAAACCCUAAGUCUGGGUGUUGGUUGCAUAUAAGUCCGUUUCCAUGAUUAGUUGACGGUUAAAUGUGAGCGUUAAGGACCGUCAACACCCCCACGUUUACAUAUGACAUGCCUC
rnacentral:lncRNA from 1 species